AUAUCAAUAAGCGGAGGAAAAGAAACUAACAAGGAUUCCCCUAGUAACGGCGAGUGAAGAGGGAAGAGCUCAAAUUUUGAAUCUGGCACCUUUGGUGUCUGAGUUGUAAUCUAGAGAAGUGCUUUCUGUGGCGGACCGUGCACAAGUCUCCUGGAAUGGAGCGUCAUAGAGGGUGAGAAUCCCGUAUAUGGCACGGACUCCCGUUGCUCUGUGAAACACUCUCAACGAGUCGAGUUGUUUGGGAAUGCAGCUCCAAACGGGUGGUAAAUGCCAUCUAAAGCUAAAUAUUGGCGAGAGACCGAUAGCGAACAAGUACCGUGAGGGAAAGAUGAAAAGCACUUUGGAAAGAGAGUGAAACAGUAC
rnacentral:rRNA from 1 species